AACGCACAUUGCGCUUCCUGGUAUUCCGGGGAGCAUGCCCGUUUCAGAAUCAUUUAAAAUAUCUUAACAUAUGUAGUGCUUAGCAUAUUUUUAUAUGCUGGGCAUGUCGUAUUUAAGGAUGUUGAGUAUUCUUUUGUGCUAGCCCCCUACUAAGGGUUGCCCAAUUACUCGUAAAUGAUUGUAUGUGACGCUGCAAUGGUAUUUGUUUGCAGAUUAAGUGCAACAGAGUAUAUCUAUUCACUUAGACUGUUUUCAAAAUGGCUAUUGCCGGAGCAUAUUCCGACAUAUACCAGUAACUAUGCUGUAGCAUAAUUGCUGAUAACUUGGUCUGAAAUCGGGCAAGAAAAACCCGCUGAACUUAA
rnacentral:misc_RNA from 1 species